AUUGGAAAGGACAGCUUGUACCAGGAAGAAAGCUAUAGCAGAGAUUCCCCUUUACCUAAGAAACUUAUCUGCAUAUUAAGGACCUGCCUUAGCUGUCCUGUUGGAGACUUAUGAGAGGCACAUGGAGGAGAGUGGCAUUAUCUAAGAUGAGGCAGACCAACGCAGCCAUUCUCCAGCUGAGCCCCCAGCUGACAACAAAUGCAUGAGAGAGGCCAGUGAGGUGAGUUGUACCUAGCCUAAGACAGCAGAAUAGCCUGGGCAGCUCCUAGACUCAGGAGAAGUAAAGCAUGGUUGUUGUUGUUGUUGUUGUUGUUGUUGUUGUU